rnacentral:pre_miRNA from 1 species
AGGAACAACCCCAGUGGUGGGGCCAGCUCUGGAAACCUGGAUUCAGCCCCCACAGGAACUCUGAAGCACUCCCUGCAGGGCCUGGAGGCUCCGGGGCGGG